UACCUAAACAAAUUUAAAAAGUUAAGCUUUUAAAUAACUAUUAAAGAUAUUAUCCCCUUGUAGUGUAGUUUAAUAGCUAUCUACAUAAUAACUUAAUAUAAAGUAUAAUAGUUUAUAUUUUAUAAUAUGACAUUAACAAUUUUGUUUAAUAUUUGAAAAUGUUAGUAUUAGUAAUAUUAGUAUAUGUGCUAAAGGAACUCGGCAAAAAACCACUCAACUGUUUAUCAAAAACAUAGCUAUAUGAAUUAAUAUAUAGUUAUUUCUGCUCAAUGACUUAAAUAGCCGCAGUACUCUGACUGUGCAAAGGUAGCAUAAUCAGUUGGCUUUUAAUUAGAGUCUGGUAUGAACGAAAAUAUGGGUAGUAACUGUCUUAGCACAUUUUUUCGAACUUAUUAAACAAGUGCAAAUGCUUGUAAUUUAACAAUAGACGAGAAGACCCUAGAAACUUGGACAAGUUUUUGUUGGGGCGACAGAAUUACACUUAACUAAUCUUAUAAUACACGACGCGAUGUUGAAAGAAUAAGUUACUCUAGGGAUAACAGCAUAAUUUUAUUAGUUUGUGACCUCGAUGUUGGACUAGGUACUAUACCCUUAAGGCAAGGAUAUAUUAUGCUCUGUUCGAGCAAAAUUACCUACAUGAUCU
rnacentral:rRNA from 1 species